rnacentral:rRNA from 1 species
GACAGAGGAGGCAAGCGUUGUUCGGAAUCACUGGGCUUAAAGCGCGUGUAGGCGGCUCGGAAAGUGUUGUGUGAAAUCCCGUGGCUCAACCACGGAACUGCACGGCAAACUCCCGGGCUUGAGGUCGGUAGAGGUGCCUGGAACUCUCGGUGGAGCGGUGAAAUGCGUAGAUAUCGAGAGGAAUGCCGGAGGCGAAAGCGGGGCACUGGGCCGAUUCUGACGCUGAGACGCGAAAGCGUGGGGAGCAAAC